rnacentral:rRNA from 1 species
UUGGGGACAACGGGUUGAUAUUCCCGUGACCGGCGAAAUAUCGUCCGUGCUGAGGCGAGUGAUACUAAACACGCAAGCAACUCUCAAACAGCCUUCGGGUUGGUGGGUUUUGUGAGUCUGUGACCUGAUCUUGUAUUAGGCAAGCUGCGGAGGGACGCAGGAAGGUAGCUCUUCCCGGCUAUGGCUAUGUCGGGUUAAGUGUGUAGGGUGGAGUAUAGGCAAAUCCGUGCUCCGUGAUGCCUGAGACAUGAUGUGUCCACACCUUUGGUGUGGUAAGAGUGAUCCUAUGCUGCCUAGAAAAGCUUCGUGAGCGAGAUAUGAGCCGCCCGUACCCCAAACCGACACAGGUGGAUAGGUAGAGAAUACCAAGGCGAUCGAGAGAAUCGUGGUGAAGGAACUCGGCAAAAUACCCCCGUAACUUCGGGAUAAGGGGGACCUGAUACGUAUAAGAGCUUUGCCUUGAAAGCGUUGAGGGUCGCAGAGACCAGGCCCAAGCGACUGUUUACUAAAAACACAGGUCCGUGCUAAGUCGAAAGACGAUGUAUACGGACUGACUCCUCCCCGGUGCUGGAAGGUUAAGGGGAACUGUUAAUCAACUUUGUUGGUGAAGCGGUGAACUUAAGCCCCAGUAAACGGCGGUGGUAACUAUAACCAUCCUAAGGUAGCGAAAUUCCUUGUCGGGUAAGUUCCGACCUGCACGAAUGGAGUAACGAUUUGGGCGCUGUCUCCACCACGAACUCGGCGAAAUUGCAUUACGAGUAAAGAUGCUCGUUACGCGCAGCAGGACGGAAAGACCCCGGGACCUUUACUAUAGUUUGGUAUUGGUGAUCGGUGUGACUUGUGUAGGAUAGGUGGGAGACCUUGAAGCCGGGACGCCAGUUCUGGUGGAGUCAUCGUUGAAAUACCACUCUGGUCACUCUGGUUAUCUAACCUAGGUCCAUUAUCUGGAUCAGGGACAGUGCCUGAUGGGUAGUUUGACUGGGGCGGUCGCCUCCUAAAAGGUAACGGAGGCGCCCGAAGGUUCCCUCAGCCUGGUUGGCAAUCAGGUUUUGAGUGUAAGUGCACAAGGGAGCUUGACUGCGAGACAGACAUGUCGAGCAGGGACGAAAGUCGGGACUAGUGAUCUUCUGGUAGCGAAUGGAAGCGCCAGGACUCAACGGAUAAAAGGUACCCCGGGGAUAACAGGCUGAUCUUGCCCGAGCGUCCAUAGCGACGGCAUGGUUUGGCACCUCGAUGUCGGCUCGUCGCAUCCUGGGGCUGGAGUCGGUCCCAAGGGUUGGGCUGUUCGCCCAUUAAAGCGGCACGCGAGCUGGGUUUAGAACGUCGUGAGACAGUUCGGUCCCUAUCCGCUGCGCGCGUAGGAGUCUUGAGAAGAGCUGUCCUUAGUACGAGAGGACCGGGACGGACUAACCUCUGGUGUGCCAGUUGUUCCACCAGGAGCACGGCUGGUUGGCUACGUUGGGAAGUGAUAACCGCUGAAAGCAUCUAAGCGGGAAGCACGCUUCAAGAUGAGGGCUCCCACAACGUUUAAGUUGGUAAGGCCCCCUGUAGACCACGGGGUUGAUGGGUCGGACGUGGAAGCACAGUAAUGUGUGGAGCUGACCGAUACUAAUAGGCCGAGGGCUUGUC